ensembl:lncRNA
CCUGGCCUUGAAUGCCUCCAGGGUGGGAGCAUCCACAACCUCUCUGAGCAGCCUGUUCCAGUGCCUCAUCACCAUCAUGUUGCAGCUGACCAGAACUGAGCUGUGACUGACACUGGUUGUGCCUCUGUGAGAUCCAACUUAAGAAAAGCUUUUGUGCAGCUGCAGCCGGGAGAAAGGAGGGAACAAAUGUAGACAGCAAUAACUCUGCAUUCACCAAGGCCAGUGAGGAUGGAGGGGGAGGAGGUACUCCAGGCAUUGGAAGAGAAGUUCCUCUGCAGCCUGUGGAGAUGCUCAUGGUGCAGCAGGCUAUCCCCUGCAGCCCACGGGGUACCACACAGAGCAGAUCUCCAUGUGCAGCCCAUGGAGGAUCCCACUCAGGAUCAGGUUCCUGUCUGAACCAGGAUUUGGAGAGAAGCCUGUGGUGUAGCAGGUGAUCUGGUGAGAGCUGUGCCUAUGGGAGACAUGCUGAAAAAGUCCAUUCCUGGUGGACUUGUGGACUGUCUUGUGGACCCACAUUAGAGCAGUUCUUGAAAAACUGAAGCUUGUGAAAAGCCCACGUAAGACCAAGAGGAGACAGGCUGCAUCUCGUGGGAGGGACCUCCUCGCUGGAGCAGUAGAAGAGAGCAGGAAAGAAGGAGGAGCAGUGACACAGUGUUACAGACUGACUGCAAUCUCUUUUCCUGUUUUCAGACGGGACAGAGUUGAUUUUCUUCAUAGUGUCUGGGCAGCAAGUAGACUGGAGGUGCACAAAAGGUUUGGAGGGGAAAGAGCAAGUACAGCUAAUCCAGACUGACCAAAGGCAUAUUUCAAACGAUAUGGCUAUGACAUCAUGCUCAACAAUAAAAGCUGGAGUAAGAGUAAAGAAGGAGGAAGGUGGAGGGAACUUUUCAAGAAACAAGAAGCUGUUGCAUAUGAUGGAACCCUCCUAACCUGCAAAUGGCUGAAAAUCUACCUAUCA